rnacentral:rRNA from 1 species
GACGAACGCUGGCGGCGUGCCUAACACAUGCAAGUCGAACGGAAAGGCCCUGCUUUUGUGGGGUGCUUGAGUGGCGAAGGGGUGAGUAAAACGUGAGUAACCUGUCCCUGACUUAGGGGUAUAUUCAGGAAACAGGGGAUAUUAUCGGAUAGGAUCUUUUGCUGCACGGUGGGGGAAGGUUAGAUUCGGUGGUUGGGGAUGGACUGGCGGCUUAUCCGCUUGUUGGUGGGGUAGUGACUUACAAAGCUUAUGACGGGUAGCCGGCCUGAGCGGGGGACCGGCCACAUUGCGACUGCGAUACGGCCCAGUCUCGAACGGGAGGCAACAGUGGAGAGUAUUGCACAAUGAGCGGGAGCCAGUUGUAGCAACGCCGCGUGCGGGAUGACGUCUUUCGGGUUGUGAACCGCUUUCGCCUGUGACGAGGCGUGAGUGACGGUAAUGGGUAAAGAAGCACCGGCUAACUACGUG